rfam:Picea glauca, whole genome shotgun sequence.
ACAUGCUUACAACAUAGAAUUAAUGCAUCGGAUCCCAUUAGAACUCCGCAAUUACGUGCGCUCGGGUUAGAGUAGUACUAGGAUGGGUGACCAUCCAAGAAGUCCUAGUGUUUUACAUGCC